GACGAACGCUGGCGACGUGCUUAACACAUGCAAGUCGAACGCUGAAGCUCAGCUUGCUGGGUGGAUGAGUGGCGAACGGGUGAGUAACACGUGAGUAACCUGCCCUCUUCUUUGGGAUAACGCCCGGAAACGGGUGCUAAUACUGGAUAUUCACUGAUUCUCGCAUGGGGGUUGGUGGAAAGGUUUUUUCUGGUGGGGGAUGGGCUCGCGGCCUAUCAGCUUGUUGGUGGGGUGAUGGCCUACCAAGGCUUUGACGGGUAGCCGGCCUGAGAGGGUGACCGGUCACAUUGGGACUGAGAUACGGCCCAGACUCCUACGGGAGGCAGCAGUGGGGAAUAUUGCACAAUGGGCGAAAGCCUGAUGCAGCGACGCCGCGUGAGGGAUGGAGGCCUUCGGGUUGUAAACCUCUUUCGCUCAUGGUCAAGCCGCAGCUUUGGGUUGUGGUGAGGGUAGUGGGUAAAGAAGCGCCGGCUAACUACGUG
rnacentral:rRNA from 1 species